AGUGAACGCUGGCGGUAGGCCUAACACAUGCAAGUCGAACGGCAGCACAGUAAGAGCUUGCUCUUACGGGUGGCGAGUGGCGGACGAGUGAGAAAUACAUCGGAAUCUACUUUUUCGUGGGGGAUAACGUAGGGAAACUUACGCUAAUACCGCAUACGACCUACGGGUGAAAGCAGGGGAUCUUCGGACCUUGCGCGAUUGAAUGAGCCGAUGUCGGAUUAGCUAGUUGGCGGGGUAAAGGCCCACCAAGGCGACGAUCCGUAGCUGGUCUGAGAGGAUGAUCAGCCACACUGGAACUGAGACACGGUCCAGACUCCUACGGGAGGCAGCAGUGGGGAAUAUUGGACAAUGGGCGCAAGCCUGAUCCAGCCAUACCGCGUGGGUGAAGAAGGCCUUCGGGUUGUAAAGCCCUUUUGUUGGGAAAGAAAAGCAGCAGGUUAAUACCCCGCUGUUCUGACGGUACCCAAAGAAUAAGCACCGGCUAACUUCGUG
rnacentral:rRNA from 1 species